UCGUCACCGUUUUCACGAAGUGGCCUCAGUGGCCAAAAUCGUUGAAAUUUUUAAUUUCGAGUUUUGACCGUUUUUGAGCAAUGUAUAUAAAUGUCUACAACUUCAGUAAUUUUCAAAGUCUAAUCUUGCUUAAUUACGUCAUACGUGACGUCACGAAACGUAUCACAAGCGGUACAACUGGCAAACACCGUUUUCACGAAGUGGCCUCUUUCGCGCAAAUGUAGUCUGCUAUUGAUAAUCGUACACGAACCGGCUCCGCGAAGCCUUUGUCACAGAUGCCGGUGCUUCUGGCGGAAUUGUUAGAGGAAUCUGACAGCCCUAGUAGAAUAGCCGGCUGAGAGGACCAUCACUAGCACUCCCAGUGGCUGAUGUCUAAGUAGGAGUUUGACGUGGAGAGCUUUAAGCAUGUUGUUGAGUUUACCAGUAGAAUAGACAGCUGGGAUACGCAAGAGAUGAGGGACCACUAGCACCCCCAGUGGUUGAUGUCCAUGUAGGAGUUUGUGCCGCUGAUGUGGAGAGCUUUUAGCAAAUUGACAAGGUAUGUGUGCAUCUUCACCCUCUGCCCUUGAACUGAUUGCUUUUCCAAUACCACGGUUUUGGGGGUCAGACCAAACGACUGACAGACCGACCAACUGAAUAGCUAAGUCCCCUCAGUCAUCAAAGGAUGGACAAAAAUACAGAAGUUAUUGUUAGGUGGGAUCGUGAUGGAGAGAUCAAUUGUGGCAAGAAACGAGAUCUUCGAUAUAACGGAAGGCUUAGGGUGGGUUCAAGAGUCACUAUGAGCUAGAUGGAUGUGGACUGGAUGGGGACUGCAACGCUGACAGGAGACUCUGACUCCGAAUGUGCCUCCAUUUAGAGGUUUUGUGGUCUAGUGGAUAAGUCGUUGGACUGUGGAUCACAGGAUCCAUGGUUCAAGUCCCGCCACAGCAGUAAUGUCUUCUGGCAAGAUAUUAAUCUACAUUUGCCACUCUGCUGUGAGCACCGAAAGCGGCUGCCCAGCAGAGCCAGGGUAAUAGUUGGAGCGCCUUGAGCAUAUUGUUAUUAUUAUUUUGACAGUGACAACCUCCCUCCUUCCUCACUAAGAACAGCACAGACUAAGGUCAUCCAUCAUAUGAAAGUUGCAUGUAAGAAGUUUUAAUCCCAUAAACUUACAGUGUUAAUCCCAUAAACUUACAGUGUUGUAUGUUUUUAGAAGGAUUUGGCAUGUAGGACUAAUAUUAAUUGCUAAUAGUUUAUAUUUCAAAGGGCAAUCCAACCUUUGUAACAAGUUGAUUUAUGUUAAAGCAGAACAAAAUGAGUGUAAUGGACUGGUGAAAUUUGAAAGAAAUCAGACAUAGAAUAAGAAAUAAUGUUUGAAAAGUUAGAUUACAACAUCUAUGUAAAUCUCAGAUCUGCAAUUUUAUGAGGCAACAGGGACGUAUGCAGCUGACAACUUUGUAUGUCAUACACAAAAAAUAUAAAUAAUUAAUGAUUUUCUUUUAAGCUCCUCUUCCAUUGUGGCAGUACUCAAACUAUAUUGUAACCCUCCCUC